rnacentral:rRNA from 1 species
CCUACGUGAGGCAGCAGUGAGGAAUAUUGGUCAAUGGGCGCGAGCCUGAACCAGCCAAGUCGCGUGCAGGAUGACUUCCCUACUGGUUGUAAACUUCUUUUAUAAAGGAAUAAAGUGAGGCACGUGUGCCUUUAUGUAUGUACUUUAUGAAUACGGAUCGGCUAACACCGUGCCAGAAGCCGCGUUCAUACUGCGAAUCCGAGCGUUAUCCGGAUUUAUGGGGUUUAAAGGGACCGUGGAUGGGUUGUUAAGUCAGUUGGGAAAGUUGGCGGCUCAACAGUAGAAUUGACAUUGAUACUGGAAGCCUUGAGUGCAGUUGAGGUAGGAGGAAUUCGUGGUGUAGCGGUGAAAUGCUUAGAUAUCACGAAGAACUCCGAUUGCGAAGGCAGCUCACUAAACUGCCACUGACAUUGAUGCUCGAAAGUGUGGGUAUCAAACAGGACGAGAUACCCGAGUAGUC